rnacentral:rRNA from 1 species
AACGCGAAGAACCUUACCUGGGCUUGACAUGCUAGGAUUAUCUCUAUGAAAGUAGAGUAGGCCCUUCGGGGUACAACUAGUACAGGUGCUGCAUGGCUGUCGUCAGCUCGUGUCGUGAGAUGUCGGGUUAAGUCCCUUAACGAGCGAAACCUUUGCCCUUAGUUACUAACGGGUUAUGCCGAGGACUCUAAGGGGACUGCCGGUGUCAAACCGGAGGAAGGUGGAGAUGACGUCAAGUCCUCAUGGCCUUUAUGCCCAGGGCCACACACGUGCUACAAUGGGAUGGAUAAAGCGAACCUAAAGCGCAAGCUCAUGGAAAUCGCAAAAAUCAUCCCUCAGUUCAGAUCGGAGGCUGCAACUCGCCUCCGUGAAGUUGGAAUCGCUAGUAAUCGCGGAUCAGCUACGCCGCGGUGAAUGUGUUCCCGGGCCUUGUACACACCGCAUAC